UGGGGGAUAUUGCACAAUGGGCGAAAGCCUGAUGCAGCGACGCCGCGUGGGGGAUGAAGGCCUUCGGGUUGUAAACUUCUUUUGCUCUGAACAAGGCGCACCAUGGGGUGUGUUGAGUGUAGGGGUUGAUUAGCGCCGGCUAACUACGUGCCAGCAGCCGCGGUAAUACGUAGGGCGCGAGCGUUGUCCGGAAUUAUUGGGCGUAAAGGGCUUGUAGGUGGCUGGUUGCGUCUGUCGUGAAAGCUCAUGGCUUAACUGUGGGUUUGCGGUGGGUACGGGCUGGCUUGGGUGCAGUAGGGGAGGCUGGAAUUCCUGGUGUAGCGGUGGAAUGCGCAGAUAUCAGGAGGAAGACCGGUGGCGAAGGCGGGUCUCUGGGCUGUUACUGACACUGAGGAGCGAAAGCAUGGGGAGCGAACAGG
rnacentral:rRNA from 1 species